rnacentral:rRNA from 1 species
AAACAUUUCUUUUUGUGUUGUAUAAAAAGUAUAUUCUGCCCUAUGAUUAUUUUAAAUGGCUGCAGUAUAUUGACUGUGCAAAGGUAGCAUAAUAAUUAGUUUUUUAAUUGGAGGCUGGUAUGAAUGAGUGAAUGUAAUAUAUAUUUUAUUUAUUUUAAUACUAAAAUUUAAAUUUUAGGUUAAAAUGCUUAAUUAAAUUCUAGGGACGAUAAGACCCUAUAGAACUAUAUAUUUAUUAUAUUUAAUAAUUAUUUAUAUAUAUGAAUUUUUUAACUUUUUUAAAUGAUUUGCUGGGGUGGUAUAUAAAUUUUAACUUUAUAAUUUUUAUUCAUUUUAGUUGUUUUUUUGAUCUUUUUUUUUGAUUAUUAGAUUAAGUUACCUUAGGGAUAACAGCGUAAUAAUGAUGGGGAGUUCAUAUCUAUAUCAAUUUUUGCGACCUCGAUGUUGAAUUAAGAUAAUUUCAGGAAGUAGUCCUCUUGAAGUUAAGUCUGUUCGACUUUUAAAUUCUUACUUGAUCUG